GGGGUACUGCGGAGGUCAUACAUGAAUUUGCAAGUGAGACUUGAUGCUGGCAGUGUAAUGCUGCAUGUGCUCGGUUUCCGUCAAAUCCACAUUACACCUGUGCACUUUCAAAGCUCUGUAGUCCUCCGUAAUGGGAGCCGCGGCUGUAAUGGCUGCUGGGGCUACACCUUUGCCCAUACAAUUACAAACUCUGUAUUUUGUCUUGUAGAAUGUCUAAUGGCCUUUGUUGGCUUAACAUAAUACAACUUUCAACAACGGAUCUCUUGGCUCUCGCAUCGAUGAAGAACGCAGCGAAAUGCGAUAAGUAAUGUGAAUUGCAGAAUUCAGUGAAUCAUCGAAUCUUUGAACGCACCUUGCGCUCCUUGGUAUUCCGAGGAGCAUGCCUGUUUGAGUGUCAUUAAAUCAUCAAUUCUCAACUUCUGUAAUGGUUGUUGUCGAAUUGGACUUGGGGACUUGCUGAUUCUAAUGUUGAACUGGCUUCCCUCAAAUGCAUUAGCUGAAGUCUUACAAGCAGCAUAUGUGCUGUGAGAAAAUAUCCUCUGUGUAGCGCUCUCUGAGAUCUCCUUCUCUAGUGCCUCCUCUUGUACACUACACUUG
rnacentral:rRNA from 1 species